AUGCAUCUCUGACAGACCUGAAGCAGUUAAUGUCUGCUGCUAAGGUUUCCACUACUACAGAUGCAAGAAAAAGAAGGUCCUCCUGCUUUCUGUCAGUCUGGUUUUUAGCAGCCAAGAUUGAAUGGGGGAAUACAAAA
rnacentral:snoRNA from 1 species